CAGAUAAAGCGAAUAGAUCUCAUCCACUGCCCGCUACUUUCGAUUUAGCUGUUUGGGCGUCAACCAAUACUUUAUACGGAUGGUAUACCUGGAAAACCAGUGCUACAUACUGUCCACGAGCAACGUCAUCAGAGUAUACGAAAAAGGCAGCAACACCAAGCGGAGAGUUAUUUCAAGUCGUUGGGACUCAGUUUAUGUGGGCACAUAAAAGAAAGCCAACACCGUUUCAUAAAUAUUUUGUAAGAACGACGGACUUCACAGACCCUUGUCCAAAGACUGAGUGGGGUUGGUUCCUAUGCUUACCCGCUGGUCAAUGGGGAAAAUUCGGUAUGGAUUCUGGAAGCCCUUUGCUGCGAACUUUUGCACUUUUAUACCAAAAUUCUAUAUACGAUUAUCGACUUGAAGGUUUAGUGGGAAUACAUACACUUUCCAUGCAUUUGCGCUCGAAUGAUAUAACUUUAUAUUUCAUUAAUUUGGAUACCCAUCGAGUAUUAGAUUUUCUGUAUGAUGCCUACAUGGGAAAACUUCCUUACGAAUAUCUAGAUUAUAGAUUCAACGAUUCCCAAAUGCAAGCUCCUCGGCCAAAGCCAUGGGCAAAA